UACGGAGGGUGCAAGCGUUAAUCGGAAUUACUGGGCGUAAAGCGCGCGUAGGCGGUUAUUUAAGUCAGAUGUGAAAGCCCCGGGCUCAACCUGGGAAUUGCAUUUGAUACUGGAUGGCUAGAGUGUGGUAGAGGUGAGUGGAAUUUCAGGUGUAGCGGUGAAAUGCGUAGAGAUCUGAAGGAACAUCAGUGGCGAAGGCGACUCACUGGGCCAUUACUGACGCUGAGGUGCGAAAGCGUGGGUAGCAAACAGG
rnacentral:rRNA from 1 species